rnacentral:rRNA from 1 species
UACGUAGGGUGCAAGCGUUAAUCGGAAUUACUGGGCGUAAAGCGUGCGCAGGCGGUUUUGUAAGUCUGACGUGAAAGCCCCGGGCUUAACCUGGGAAUUGCGUUGGAGACUGCAAGGCUUGAAUCUGGCAGAGGGGGGUAGAACUCCACGUGUAGCAGUGAAAUGCGUAGAGAUGUGGAGGAACACCGAUGGCGAAGGCAGCCCCCUGGGUCAAGAUUGACGCUCAUGCACGAAAGCGUGGGGAGCAAACAGG